UUCAACGCUCCUAGUGACAGAUGGUCUUUAAUUUGAUUGGGUUUUUUUGUAGGUUUCAACGAAAAUAGCAAUAGACAAUUCUUCUCAGACUCGUGAACCCAUGCUUGUAUAAAGAAGUGUACUCGGCGCUGUUGUGGCGCAUUCGUUCAGUAGACAUCAAGUUGAAAGCAGCAAGUGCAUUUCCAACUCCUGAUUUUGCUUUGGUUUACAAGUUCUGUUUCCACCUGAAAUAUUAGCAAGAAUGAAGGUUUACAUGUGCCUGGUUUUCCUGAUGUUCGUUGGAUGUGCCUGGAAUUUCGCACUGGGGGACGACUUUCUCCAAGACGACUUUGCGAAAGACGUCUUUACCGAACGGGAAGCUCACGAGAUGGCGGAGAGGACAGCUUGCUCUAGUCAAGACGAUUGUGGAGAACUUUAUCAUUGUGACUUUCGCAGUAGCCAGUGCCGCCCACAAUGGAGGGAAUCUUGACGGAGAUUGCAUGGAGAAUAAGUUCAGAACCCCAACAAUACUGGCAAUGAACAUGACUGAAUAAAAUCAUGAUUGACAGUGGUAACCAACAGGAAGGCUUAUGAUCUGAUAAAAUUUAAAGGGUUAAAUUUGGCAUUUUAGUUCAAUUUUCUUCUUCCUUGAUAAGAUUUUGCCUUUUUUUAAACAAUACUGCGUCCGUGUUCCAGCCAGGUUUUUUUUCCAUUGAUGCCUUCACAAUGCCAGUCACUCUGAAGGGUAAUGAUAACUGUGAAUGUUAAGAGCGGUGUUGAAAUUAUAAUGAAAUCAAAAAUCUAUAAUCGAUCCAUGAAUAGCUGCUUUAUUUAACGUGUGGGGACAUUUUGUAUUCUUCAAAUAAUCCUCAAGAAAAAUUAUGUUCAUUUCAAACACGAAUGUUCUUUAUAAGCUCGAGCACCGACCUAACAUGUCGUCGCUGUUCUCACGUAGUGCAAAAAAAAUGAAAAUCGAAAAAUAGUUUCAAAGCGAAAUAUUGUUUACUUUCUUCAUUACAGGAAUUAGACAUUUAACAAAACGCCCGAAUUUUUUUUUUUUCGUACUGCAAAAAGGCGUGUAAUGUUCUCAUGAAGAGACAAAGAGGGCUGGAAUACAUUGCUUUAGUCUUUUUUACAAACAACUAUGAAUUAGCAAAGAACAAAGCAUAAGUUAUUAGACAACGCAUAGUGGUCAAAAUACGUUUGAAAAAGGAUUAACUUCAAAUGCGAUAAUCUCGCGAUGAACUUUUGCCAGAGAUAGAGGUUUUGUCACUUCGUGAGCACAUCGACGAAGUGUUUUGUAUAAUAAAUCUAUAUAGAAAUAUGUUCCUGUUUUAAUGUUGUAGUGACUCAGCAGGUGUAGAUCCAGGGGGAGUUUGGGGAAAUAACAAUCCCCCCCC